rnacentral:rRNA from 1 species
NAACUAACAGGAUUCCCCUAGUAACUGCGAGUGAAGCGGGAAAAGCUCAAAUUUAAAAUCCGUCCCCCGASGGAGUUGUAAUCUAGAGAAGUGUUUUCGGCCGUUGGUCGGACAAGUCCCCUGGAACAGGNGUCAUAGAGGGUGAUAAUCCCGUACUUGACCAAGAUCCCCAAGUUUAAUGUGAUACACUCUCGAAGAGUCGAGUUGUUUGGGAAUGCAGCUCAAAACGGGUGGUAAAUUCCAUCUAAAGCUAAAUAUUGGCGAGAGACCGAUAGCGAACAAGUACCGUGAGGGAAAGAUGAAAAGCACUUUGGAAAGAGAGUUAAACAGAACGUGAAAUUGCUAAAAGGGAAGCGCUUGAAGUCAGUCGCGUUUAAUGAGACUCAGCCUCACGGUGUAUUUCUCUUGAACGGGCCAACAUGGAUUUUGGGCGCGGGAAAAGGRUUUGGGGAAGGUGGCAACCUCGGUUGUGUUAUAGCCUCUUACCGUACACCGCGCCUGGGAUCGAGGACCGCGGCUUUGCCUAGGAUGUUGGCGUAAUGGCUUUAAGCGACCCGUCUUGAAACACGGACCAAGGAGUCUAACAUGUCUGCGAGUGUUUGGGUGUCAAACCCAUGCGCGUAAUGAAAGUAAAUGUAGGUGGGAGGCUUCGGCCGCACCAUCGACCGAUCCGGAUUUCUUGUGAUGGAUUUGAGUAAGAGCAUAUAUGUUGGGACCCGAAAGAUGGUGAACUAUGCCUGAAUAGGGCGAAGCCAGAGGAAACUUUGGUGGAGGCUCGUAGCGAUUCUGACGUGCAAAUCGAUUGUCAAAUUUGGGUAUAGGGGCGAAAGACUAAUCGAACCANNNNNNNNNNNNNNNNNNNN